UUUAUGGAGAGUUUGAUCCUGGCUCAGGAUGAACGCUGGCGGCGUGCCUAAUACAUGCAAGUCGAGCGAACGGAUGAGAAGCUUGCUUCUCUGAUGUUAGCGGCGGACGGGUGAGUAACACGUGGAUAACCUACCUAUAAGACUGGGAUAACUUCGGGAAACCGGAGCUAAUACCGGAUAAUAUUUUGAGCCGCAUGGUUCAAAAGUGAAAGACGGUCUUGCUGUCACUUAUAGAUGGAUCCGCGCUGCAUUAGCUAGUUGG
rnacentral:rRNA from 1 species